ensembl:lncRNA
CAGACAGGAAGUGGAACUUGUGUUCUGACCCAUUAAAACCCUUAAAGGAAUUAAAAACGGCCCAACGUGGAGUCACAAGACCCGCUGAUGAAUCUGCACCGACGGUUUAAGUCUUUGAAGCGUUUUUAAACCCGGCAAUUAAAACGACACAACAGUCAAAAAUGUUCCAUUUCUUGGACGUCUUUACUCCGAGGGGAGGAGGACGAGACCCUCGGCGGGGCCGCUGGGGGGGGACACGUCGUCCAGGUCGUUCCUGUACCGGCUGAUGCUCAUUCUGGAACGUGAGAGGGAGAUCUGAGAGCAGCCCCGACGAAGAGAAGCGGCUGGCAAACACGGAUGGGAGGAUUAUCUCGUAUUCAUGAAUGUAUUUCUGCACGCAGCAAAGACGGUGAACAUUCCAGAAGAAGAGCUUUGUAUCUCUUAAAUAUAAUAUUACUAAUACCUCCUUUCACUUUCAUCUCACUUAUUACCACCACGAAUACUUACGCCUGGCACUUUACAUAAAACUCAUCAUACACUUCUUACCUAAGUGCUGCUAUUCUUGGUCCCCAUCACUGUUCAUAUUGCACAACUAUUUCUUACUGUACAUGUCUAUUUAUUCACGUAUUACACUUUACAUAUGCACAUACUCUGCACUUGUUGCUAUUUUGCACUUCUGGUUGGA